rnacentral:tRNA from 1 species
UAGAGGUGUCAAAGAAGCUGCUAACUUCCCAAAAACAUUAAGUUGUUAACCUCUUU